GUGCAGGCCGUUCAGCGAGGCUGGACCUGGCGUGGUCCUGUCCUUUCCUGUUGUGCCUGCUAGAGAGACUGGGGUGGUUUGAGGCCCUGCCGUGACUCUCCACGGCAAGGUUAUAGAAACCUCACACAAAU